rnacentral:rRNA from 1 species
UACGGGGGGGGCAAGCGUUGUUCGGAAUUACUGGGCGUAAAGGGCUCGUAGGUGGCCAACUAAGUCAGACGUGAAAUCCCUCGGCUUAACCGGGGAACUGCGUCUGAUACUGGAUGGCUUGAGUAUGGGAGAGGGAUGCGGAAUUCCAGGUGUAGCGGUGAAAUGCGUAGAUAUCUGGAGGAACAUCGGUGGCGAAGGCGGCAUCCUGGACCGGUAUUGACGCUGAGGCGCGAAAGCCAGGGGAGCAAACGGG